rnacentral:pre_miRNA from 1 species
UGAGUUUUGGGGUACGUGUCAGAGGUGCAUUUACAUCGAGCUACAGCCGUUAGAGGUAUUUGUAAAUGCACUAUCUGGUACGACAUUCCAGAAUCG